rnacentral:lncRNA from 1 species
UUUGGUGCUAGCGUAGACUCUGUAGAGUAAAAUCUACCCAAAAUCUCACCUCUCUCUCUCUCUCUAUCUCUCUCUCUCUCUCUCUCAGAGGUGACCUGGCAAGAAUGGAUUUGAAACCCACUGCAACUGCUAUUUGUUGUUCCAUGUCCCUCCAACAGUGACAGACCCCUUCCCCUUCCCUUUCCCCUGCUUUCCCAGUUCAAAAACCCGCACAC